rnacentral:rRNA from 1 species
GACGAACGCUGGCGGCGUGCUUAACACAUGCAAGUCGAACGGAAAGGCCCUGCUUUUGUGGGGUGCUCGAGUGGCGAACGGGUGAGUAACACGUGAGUAACCUGCCCUUGACUUUGGGAUAACUUCAGGAAACUGGGGCUAAUACCGGAUAGGAGCUCCUGCUGCAUGGUGGGGGUUGGAAAGUUUCGGCGGUUGGGGAUGGACUCGCGGCUUAUCAGCUUGUUGGUGGGGUAGUGGCUUACCAAGGCUUUGACGGGUAGCCGGCCUGAGAGGGUGACCGGCCACAUUGGGCCUGAGAUACGGCGCAGACUCCUACGUGAGGCAGCAGGGGGGAAUAUUGCACAAUGGGCGGAAGCCUGAUGCAGCAACGCCGCGUGCGGGAUGACGGCCUUCGGGUUGUAAACCGCUUUCGCCUGUGACGAAGCGUGAGUGACGGUAAUGGGUAAAGAAGCACCGGCUAACUACGUG